rnacentral:rRNA from 1 species
UUACCAGACUCCUACGGGAGGCAGCAGUGAGGAAUAUUGGUCAAUGGGCGCGAGCCUGAACCAGCCAAGUCGCGUGAGGGAUGACGGUCCUACGGAUUGUAAACCUCUUUUGCCGGGGAGCAAGCGUGCGUUCGUGAACGCGCGUCGAGAGUACCCGGAGAAAAAGCAUCGGCUAACUCCGUGCCAGCAGCCGCGGUAAUACGGAGGAUGCGAGCGUUAUCCGGAUUUAUUGGGUUUAAAGGGUGCGUAGGCGGGCAUUUAAGCCGGCGGUCAAAUGUCGGGGCUCAACCCCGGCCUGCCGUCGGAACUGGGUGCCUUGAGUGGGCGAGAAGUAUGCGGAAUGCGUGGUGUAGCGGUGAAAUGCAUAGAUAUCACGCAGAACUCCGAUUGCGAAGGCAGCAUACCGGCGCCCAACUGACGCUCAGGCACGAAAGCGUGGGUAUCGAACAGGAUUAGAUACCCGAGUA